rnacentral:misc_RNA from 1 species
UCGCGGCUUAUCACCGGCAGUCCCCUUAGAGUGCCCAACUGAAUGAUGGCAACUAAUGACAAGGGUUGCGCUCGUUGCGGGACUUAACCCAACAUCUCACGACACGAGCUGACGACAGCCAUGCAGCACCUGUGUAAAGGUUCUCUUUCGAGCACCCCCGAAUCUCUCCAGGGUUCCUUCCAUGUCAAGGGUAGGUAAGGUUUUUCGCGUUGCAUCGAAUUAAUCCACAUCAUCCACCGCUUGUGCGGGUCCCCGUCAAUUCCUUUGAGUUUUAAUCUUGCGACCGUACUCCCCAGGCGGUCUACUUCACGCGUUAGCUGCGUUACCAAGUUAAUUAAAACCCGACAACUAGUAGACAUCGUUUAGGGCGUGGACUAC